UGAAAUUUUUACAAUCACGGCUGAAUCUCUAUAGUGUUAAAAAAAAGAAUACGUAGAGGAGAAGCAUUUCCUUGUACGUUAUAUGUGGACCAUAUGAAGUCAUUCAUAGUAAGUAACUCGAAUUAGGAUAUAUAUAUAUAUAUAUACGGAGAUUUGAGAAUUUCCGUAACUUUAAGUUCCAUACAGAUUGCAUAUGCUACUGGAAAAUGUUUAUAAUGAUUAGAAAUAAAAGGAUAUUUUAAUUGCAAGUUACUUCAUAACAGCAGUUAAUUCUCGAUUAUGAACAAGUAAAAUAAACUGUUUUAUAAUUACAUAUAAUUAACAACAAUCACAAUUUAUAACAACAAUCACAAUUUAUUUAUAAAAUUUAUAGUAAUAUUAUACAUAUUUGUUGUAUAUUUAUGAGAUUUGUUAGCAUUUGUUUGUUGCAAUGAAAUAAUGUAUUUUAUUGUGACAAUGUACAAUGAUAAAGAUAUGAACGAUAAAUUACAACUAUGCAUAUUACAACUAUAUAUAAUCGAGAGUUUAUGUUGUAUGUGUUUCAGGGAAAUUAUGUUUAAUAUAAUACGUAUUAUUACGUUUUAUGUAGUAUAAAGUUGUUACUUCUUUUGUUACUGUUACAUAUUGCAUUAUAAAAAUUUUCUAUUUUAUUGGACAUGAAUGACAGAAAGUGUACAAUAAUAUAUAUGAAACAAAUCUUA